rnacentral:misc_RNA from 1 species
AGCAGCCGCGGUAAUUCCAGCUCCAAUAGCGUAUAUUAAAGUUGUUGCAGUUAAAAGCUCGUAGUUGAAUUUCGGGGUUUAUACAUUGGUCGGGCUUUUUGGUCUGUACUUAUGUAAUGGAUUCCUACCUUCUGAAUAACUAGCAUGCCAUUAAUUUGGUGCGCCGGGGAAGCAGGACUGUUACCUUGAAAAAUUGAGUGCUUAAAGCAGGCUAUCGCCUGAAUACAUUAGCAUGGAAUAAUGAAAUAGGACGGCAUGGUUCUAUUUUGUUGGUUUCUAGGAUCACCGUAAUGAUUAAUAGGGAUAGUUGGGGGCAUUAGUAUUCAAUUGUCAGAGGUGAAAUUCUUGGAUUUAUUGAAGUACUAACUUCUGCGAAAGCAUUUGCCAAGGAUGUUUCAUUAUCAAGAACGAAGUUAGGGGAUCGAAGACGAUCAGAUACCGUCGUAGUCUUAACCAUAAACUAUAGCCGACUAGGGAUCGGACGUAUUGUUAAUUUUUAUGUACUUCGUU